GACGUAGGGUGCAAGCGUUGUCCGGAUUUACUGGGCGUAAAGAGCGCGUAGGCGGUCUUGUAAGUGUGAAGUGAAAUCUCCAGGGCUCAACCCCGGAAACUGCUUUACAUACUGCAAGACUGGAGUGAUGCAGAGGUUUGUGGAAUUCCUGGUGUAACGGUGAAAGUGUGUUGAUAUCAGGAAGAACACCCGGUGGCGAAGGCGGCUCUCGUGGGACGGUACUGACGCUGAGACGCGGAAAGCGUGGGGAGCAAACAGG
rnacentral:rRNA from 1 species